rnacentral:rRNA from 1 species
GAAGGUGUGCUGUGAGGCAUGCUGGAGGUAUCAGAAGUGCGAAUGCUGACAUAAGUAACGAUAAAGCGGGUGAAAAGCCCGCUCGCCGGAAGACCAAGGGUUCCUGUCCAACGUUAAUCGGGGCAGGGUGAGUCGACCCCUAAGGCGAGGCCGAAAGGCGUAGUCGAUGGGAAACAGGUUAAUAUUCCUGUACUUGGUGUUACUGCGAAGGGGGGACGGAGAAGGCUAUGUUGGCCGGGCGACGGUUGUCCCGGUUUAAGCGUGUAGGCUGGUUUUCCAGGCAAAUCCGGAAAAUCAAGGCUGAGGCGUGAUGACGAGGCACUACGGUGCUGAAGCAACAAAUGCCCUGCUUCCAGGAAAAGCCUCUAAGCAUCAGGUAACAUCAAAUCGUACCCCAAACCGACACAGGUGGUCAGGUAGAGAAUACCAAGGCGCUUGAGAGAACUCGGGUGAAGGAACUAGGCAAAAUGGUGCCGUAACUUCGGGAGAAGGCACGCUGAUAUGUAGGUGAAGUCCCUCGCGGAUGGAGCUGAAAUCAGUCGAAGAUACCAGCUGGCUGCAACUGUUUAUUAAAAACACAGCACUGUGCAAACACGAAAGUGGACGUAUACGGUGUGACGCCUGCCCGGUGCCGGAAGGUUAAUUGAUGGGGUUAGCCGCAAGGCGAAGCUCUUGAUCGAAGCCCCGGUAAACGGCGGCCGUAACUAUAACGGUCCUAAGGUAGCGAAAUUCCUUGUCGGGUAAGUUCCGACCUGCACGAAUGGCGUAAUGAUGGCCAGGCUGUCUCCACCCGAGACUCAGUGAAAUUGAACUCGCUGUGAAGAUGCAGUGUACCCGCGGCAAGACGGAAAGACCCCGUGAACCUUUACUAUAGCUUGACACUGAACAUUGAGCCUUGAUGUGUAGGAUAGGUGGGAGGCUUUGAAGUGUGGACGCCAGUCUGCAUGGAGCCGACCUUGAAAUACCACCCUUUAAUGUUUGAUGUUCUAACGUUGACCCGUAAUCCGGGUUGCGGACAGUGUCUGGUGGGUAGUUUGACUGGGGCGGUCUCCUCCUAAAGAGUAACGGAGGAGCACGAAGGUUGGCUAAUCCUGGUCGGACAUCAGGAGGUUAGUGCAAUGGCAUAAGCCAGCUUGACUGCGAGCGUGACGGCGCGAGCAGGUGCGAAAGCAGGUCAUAGUGAUCCGGUGGUUCUGAAUGGAAGGGCCAUCGCUCAACGGAUAAAAGGUACUCCGGGGAUAACAGGCUGAUACCGCCCAAGAGUUCAUAUCGACGGCGGUGUUUGGCACCUCGAUGUCGGCUCAUCACAUCCUGGGGCUGAAGUAGGUCCCAAGGGUAUGGCUGUUCGCCAUUUAAAGUGGUACGCGAGCUGGGUUUAGAACGUCGUGAGACAGUUCGGUCCCUAUCUGCCGUGGGCGCUGGAGAACUGAGGGGGGCUGCUCCUAGUACGAGAGGACCGGAGUGGACGCAUCACUGGUGUUCGGGUUGUCAUGCCAAUGGCACUGCCCGGUAGCUAAAUGCGGAAGAGAUAAGUGCUGAAAGCAUCUAAGCACGAAACUUGCCCCGAGAUGAGUUCUCCCUGAC